CACCAGUUAUAGCUGUGGUGGGAAAUGACGCAUGUUGGAGUCAGAUAUCCAGAGAGCAGGUUCCUAUACUCGGCAGUAACGUGGCAUGUGGCCUUGCAUUUACAGAUUAUCAUAUAGUUGCAGACGGUUACGGCGGUAAGGGCUACCUUGUAGGGCGCGAGGACGAGGACAGGCUAAGCGACAUCAUCAAACAGGCUCAGAAGGAGACCCGGGAGGGCAAGGCUACACUUCUCAACGUUCUCAUAGGGAAGACCAACUUUAGAGAGGGCUCUAUCUCCGUAUAGAGCAGCUGUGAAUCCUAAAGCAGUGCAUUCUUCUUCCUGUAACUUUGGCUCUUCGUAGACUUUAUUGUCAGGCUCUAUGAGAGGUUUCAGAGAGUAAGAAGAAGCUGCUGGAUCCAGACCUAUGCUAAUCCUUUGUGCCCUUAAAGCCAUAAAUUACUUUACAGUACGUUCAUCUCGUGUGAGACUUCAUGUCAGCUACAACACACAUCUGCAAACACCAGUCAUGACUGAUUUCACUAUCAAACGGUGACUGUUUAUACACCUGUAAUCUUUGUUAUUUACUAUGUUAUUUACUACUACAGCUCCAGAUCUGCCAGCCUAGCAACUAAAGCUUUUGUUAUGCGUCAUGCAACUUUCAGGUUCAUGUGCUAUUUAAGAUAACUGCUGCAUUUAAAGAAGGGAAAGACUGAAAAGUAAGAAGCUCUUGCUUUAUGAAGGGAUUUUACCUCUUUCAGAGCUCUGGGUUAUAUUUUUGACCUUUAAACAGCCUAUUAUUAUAACCUUCUUGCAAAUAAACCAGUGACUAAAAAAUCAUUUGUAAGAGAGAGUGUUGAUUUAAGUCAUCAAACGUGACCAGUAUGCCUUUACUCCUGUUAUCAAAUGAACACGGAGACACAAAUCUUUACAGCUUUCAUUUUCUUUAACAGUUCAUGAUUUGGGAUAAAAAUGUGUAAAAUGAAAAAAAUAUUAUUUUGAAUGUUGAAGACUGACAAAUGUUAUGCCUUUAAAUGUUUGAUUGUGUCUUGGAAUACAUCGAUACGUGUAGAUUGACAAUGUGUCUGCUGAUUCAGUUAUGUAUUUGAAUGAUAUCUAAUACUGACUUGUAUGCAUUGAUGUGGGCUAUGAUUUCAUAUAUGCCUAUACACAAUAUGUAUUGCACUAUAAUUAUAACUUAUAUACUCACCAGGUGAACAUGUGUGGAUCAUCUCACUCCAACAUAUAUAUAUUGUUGUUUUAUUUGGUACUUUGAGGGAGGUAUGUCAAAUUUUUGAUCAUGACGAUGUUAAUUUGGGUUUAUUGACAAAUAAAAGAAAGAUCAUGAGUGGGCCUUUGAA